rnacentral:rRNA from 1 species
UACGGAGGGUGCAAGCGUUAUCCGGAUUCACUGGGUUUAAAGGGUGCGUAGGCGGAUUAGAAAGUCCGUUGUGAAAUCUCUGAGCUUAACUCGGAAAUUGCGGUGGAUACUAUUAGUCUUGAAUACUGUGGAGGUUAGCGGAAUAUGUCAUGUAGCGGUGAAAUGCAUAGAUAUGACAUAGAACACCAAUUGCGAAGGCAGCUUACUACGCAGAUAUUGACGCUCAUGCACGAAAGCGUGGGGAUCAAACAGG